rnacentral:rRNA from 1 species
UUGUACUAGAAGUCCUAAGUCAACAGGCCCAAGGUAUCGAUUCGAAUGAUUGGGGUG